rnacentral:rRNA from 1 species
AUUGAACGCUAGCGGCAUGCCUAACACAUGCAAGUCGAACGAGUGGCGGACGGGUGAGUAAUGUCUGGGAAACUGCCUGAUGGCGGGGGAUAACUACUGGAAACGGUAGCUAAUACCGCAUACCAUCGGAUGUGCCCAGAUGGGAUUAGCUAGUAGGUGGGGUAAAGGCUCACCAAGGCGACGAUCCGUAGCUGGUCUGAGAGGAUGACCAGCCACACUGGAACGGAGACACGGUCCAGACGCCUACGGGAGGCAGCAGUGGGGAAUUUUGGACAAUGGGCGCAAGCCUGAUGCAGCCAUGCCGCGUGUAUGAAGAAGGCCUUCGGGUUGUAAAGUACUUUCAGCGGGGAAGCGUUACCUGCAGAAGAAGCACCGGCUAACUACGUGCCAGCCGCCGCGGUAAUAC